CUAGUAACGGCCGCCAGUGUGCUGGAAUUCGCCCUUCAGGCCUAACACAUGCAAGUCGAGGGGCAGCACAGGUAGCAAUACCGGGUGGCGACCGGCGCACGGGUGAGUAACGCGUAUGCAACUUACCUAUCAGAGGGGGAUAACCCGGCGAAAGUCGGACUAAUACCGCAUGAAGCAGGGGCCCCGCAUGGGGAUAUUUGCUAAAGAUUCAUCGCUGAUAGAUAGGCAUGCGUUCCAUUAGGCAGUUGGCGGGGUAACGGCCCACCAAACCGACGAUGGAUAGGGGUUCUGAGAGGAAGGUCCCCCACAUUGGUACUGAGACACGGACCAAACUCCUACGGGAGGCAGCAGUGAGGAAUAUUGGUCAAUGGGCGCGAGCCUGAACCAGCCAAGUCGCGUGAGGGAUGAAGGUUCUAUGGAUCGUAAACCUCUUUUAUAAGGGAAUAAAGUGUGGGACGUGUCCUAUUUUGUAUGUACCUUAUGAAUAAGGAUCGGCUAACUCCGUGCCAGCAGCCGCGGUAAUACGGAGGAUCCGAGCGUUAUCCGGAUUUAUUGGGUUUAAAGGGUGCGUAGGCGGCCUUUUAAGUCAGCGGUGAAAGUCUGUGGCUCAACCAUAGAAUUGCCGUUGAAACUGGGAGGCUUGAGUAUGUUUGAGGCAGGCGGAAUGCGUGGUGUAGCGGUGAAAUGCUUAGAUAUCACGCAGAACCCCGAUUGCGAAGGCAGCCUGCCAAGCCAUGACUGACGCUGAUGCACGAAAGCGUGGGGAUCAAACAGGAUUAGAUACCCUGGUAGUCCACGCAGUAAACGAUGAUCACUAGCUGUUUGCGAUACAUUGUAAGCGGCACAGCGAAAGCGUUAAGUGAUCCACCUGGGGAGUACGCCGGCAACGGUGAAACUCAAAGGAAUUGACGGGGGCCCGCACAAGCGGAGGAACAUGUGGUUUAAUUCGAUGAUACGCGAGGAACCUUACCCGGGUUUGAACGCAUUCGGACCGAGGUGGAAACACCUUUUCUAGCAAUAGCCGUUUGCGAGGUGCUGCAUGGUUGUCGUCAGCUCGUGCCGUGAGGUGUCGGCUUAAGUGCCAUAACGAGCGCAACCCUUGCCACUAGUUACUAACAGGUUAGGCUG
rnacentral:rRNA from 1 species